UCUUGCACAGCUUGCCGCACGAACUGUCCGCGGACCCUUGGCCGCUGCUCGGCCAGCCUCUUUCUGCUCUGGCUACCUUUUUUCCGAAGUUGCGCUCUUUCCUUUUCUGUCUAAACUUGAUCACUGCAGCCACUCUAUGCUCUCGUUGAGUGAAGCGUUUCAGAUACAUGUCAUUGCCACUGCCGCUUCCACUUCCAUUGCCACCUCCAGGUCCACUUUUGUUGAUGGUGCCAUUAGCGAUCUCCAUAUUUGGCCGUUCAGCAUUUACAGCAGUCGUACUCCCAUUCUGCCCAUUGCUUCCAUUGUUACUGCCUGAGUUGCUUCCAUUGACACCAUAGUUGGCAGCAUGACCUUCGACAGGAGGAUCAAAUACAUUGGAUGAACCACAUUGAGGGGCCCCGGAUCCACCAUUCUCACGUGACACAUCGAAAUGAACAUAAUGAAGUAUUGGGCGAGGGUGUUGUACGAGGUUGCUCUGUACUUCACCAGGCUGAGCCCUCUUUGCUGCAUUGUUAGCCACUUCAUCAGUCUUUUCUUUUCCUGUUGUAUUAGCUGGAGACGUCCAGUGCUGUGCAGGAUGAAAUGCUGAUGUGUGUCCAUUAGCCUUAACAGCUGAGGGUGACAUUACUCUCUCCUUAUUUGUACUAGGCUUUGUCACAACGUUCUUUGUAGUGGAACCCAUGUCAUUGUUAUUGCUACUACCAUUAGAACCUUGUUUUAUUGGUGCAGCAUCUGAGUUUGACUUCAUGUUGUAAGCAGAAUCCGUUUUCAUAGCCUCUGAGCUAUUAUCAUGCAGCGAACAGCUUCCCAUGAAUCCUGUCCCACCUUGAUUGGAAGCCACAGGUGUAUGGUACCUUGCAACAAAAAGAUCUGAUCGUCUCAAAACAUUCCGUUGUUCCUCUUGGAUUGCGUUUGCACCAUCCCCAGUCGAUCUUGACCUUUUCAAACUUAAUUCAAGUGAUGGCAUAAUAUUAUCACGGUUCUUAUCUUUCCCUUCUGGCACUUUGGAGGAGCAAUUAGGGGCAUUUGCGGCUCUUGCUGCCUGUUGUGCAUCCAUGUUUUUGGCCAUCGAACCAAUUAAGUCAGCAGCUCGAACACUUGACUCCUCCAGAUUUUCCAUCGCUGCCUCCUUUGAAUUGUUUUGCAGUGGAUAUUCAUUCCGUCUAUCUGUUGGUUUGAUGGAUCUCUCAUUCGGAGAGGAUUGAUAAGCUGUGUUUAAAUUUCUAGGAGAACCUAUUUCCAAGUCCUUCCCCUUGAACAUACAAUACCAUUAGUUUCUUUUUGUUUCUUGGAAUUUUUGUUGCUUGUACAUGGUAACCAUCUAUUGCUGCAUAUAUCUGACUUCAGGUGGAUCACUUGUGCACAAGUGCUAUCAGGUGGAUCAGCUAAUUGAUCUGGAGACAUAGCCUGUGGACUGUCAAUCUCAACAGCGCGCUUUUUUCAUACUUGAGUGCCACUGCCGUUAUCACUGCCAUCUCUUGCAUUAAGUCCCAUGAUUACACCAUCGUCGUCAUCAUCGUCAUUGCUGCCAUUGUUAUUAUUGGAUUCAUCCCCACUUUUUGAUUUGGCACACUUUUCAGCAGUCAGUACUUGAUGGAUUUGCCUGAACAUCUAAUAUAUAAGAAAAACUGGACCAACAACAACUUACGCUGUGGCACCGUCUCCACACAUGCUGCCAUAGGUUCUUAAGUUCAUUCUUACGUAUGGGCUUGACUAAGAAGUCAACAGCGCCCUUUGACAAACACUUAAAAACUGUACCCAUAGCAUCAUUUGAAGACAUCACUGAUCACUGGAAUAUUCUUGCAAAUAUUGUGGUUCAUGAUCCUACUCAAUAGAGAAAUUCCAGAUACACCAGGCAUAACAACCUCUGUCAAAACAAGAUCAAUGCUGUUUUGCAUAUCUUCUAGAUAUGUCCAUGCUUGCUGGCCAUUUUCAGCAGGGAUGACUUCACAG
rnacentral:sRNA from 1 species